GGGAGCGAUCAUACCAGCACUAAUGCACCGGAUCCCAUCAGAACUCCGAAGUUCAGCGUGCUUGGGCGAGAGUAGUGCUAGGAUGGGUGACCUCUUGGGAAGUCCUCGUGUUGCACCCC
rnacentral:rRNA from 1 species